ACCCCUUUUCUGAACCAGAGGUAAUUUCCAGAGGAGUAGUAUCUGUUCUUAUCAGUUUAAUAUCUGAUGCGUCCUCUAUCCAAGGACAAUUUAUUAAAUGGAUUUUACAACUAAACGUUGUGCUCAGUCUUCCUUUGUAGCACACAGGGAGAAGUAUUACAAAAUGCAUUUAAUUUUAUUUAUAUACGUAAACACAG